rnacentral:misc_RNA from 1 species
GAACGCACAUUGCGCCCAUUAGUAUUCUAGUGGGCAUGCCUGUUCGAGCGUCAUUUCACCACUCAAGCCUCGCUUGGUAUUGGGCAACGCGGUCCGCCGCGUGCCUCAAAUCGUCCGGCUGGGUCUUCUGUCCCCUAAGCGUUGUGGAAACUAUUCGCUAAAGGGUGUUCGGGAGGCUACGCCGUAAAACAACCCCAUUUCUAAGGUUGACCUCGGAUCAGGUAGGGAUACCCGCUGAACUUA